CACUUCCUCCGCCCCUGCAGCAAGGGAUAAGAAACCCUGCGCCAAGACCUCUUCCUUUCCUAGGCGGCUGCCGAAGAUGGCGGAGGGGCAGGUUCUAGUAUUGGAUGGCCGGGGCCAUCUUCUGGGCCGCCUGGCGGCCAUUGUGGCCAAGCAGGUACUGCUGGGCCGAAAGGUGGUGGUUGUACGCUGUGAGGGCAUCAACAUUUCUGGAAAUUUCUACAGAAACAAGUUAAAGUAUCUGGCCUUUCUCCGAAAGCGGAUGAACACCAACCCGUCUCGAGGCCCCUACCACUUCCGAGCCCCAAGCCGCAUUUUUUGGCGCACUGUGCGAGGCAUGCUGCCGCACAAGACCAAAAGAGGCCAGGCUGCCCUGGAACGCCUCAAGGUGUUGGAUGGGAUCCCUCCACCCUAUGACAAGAAAAAGCGGAUGGUGGUCCCUGCUGCCCUCAAGGUUGUGCGGCUGAAGCCUACCAGAAAGCCUUGUGCCCCUGCAGUUUGCUUACCUGGGGCGUCUGGCUCAUGAGGUCGGGUGGAAGUACCAGGCAGUGACAGCUACUCUGGAGGAGAAACGGAAGGAAAAGGCAAAGAUCCAUUACCGGAAGAAGAAGCAGCUCUUGAGGCUAAGGAAACAGGCAGAAAAGAAUGUGGAGAAGAAAAUCUGCAAGUUCACAGAGGUCCUCAAGACCAAUGGACUCUUGGUGUGAACCCAAUAAAGACUGUUUGUGCCUCA